rnacentral:rRNA from 1 species
GGUUAAGCUAUUAAGAGCACACGGAGGAUGCCUAGGCGCCAGGAGCCGACGAAGGACGUGGCGAACAACGAAAAGGCCUCGGG